CUGGCAGCGUGCCUAAUCAUGCAUCUGAGCGGACAGAUGGGAGCUUGCUCCCUGCAUGUUAGCGGCGGACGGGUGAGUAACACGUGGGUAACCUGCCUGUAAGACUGGGAUAACUCCGGGAAACCGGGGCUAAUACCGGAUGGUUGUUGAACCGCAUGGUUCAGACAUAAAAGGUGGCUUCGGCUACCACUUACAGAUGGACCCGCGGCGCAUUAGCUAGUUGGUGAGGUAACGGCUCACCAAGGCGACGAUGCGUAGCCGACCUGAGAGGGUGAUCGGCCACACUGGGACUGAGACACGGCCCAGACUCCUACGGGAGGCAGCAGUAGGGAAUCUUCCGCAAUGGACGAAAGUCUGACGGAGCAACGCCGCGUGAGUGAUGAAGGUUUUCGGAUCGUAAAGCUCUGUUGUUAGGGAAGAACAAGUGCCGUUCAAAUAGGGCGGCACCUUGACGGUACCUAACCAGAAAGCCACGGCUAACUACGUGCCAGCAGCCGCGGUAAUACGUAGGUGGCAAGCGUUGUCCGGAAUUAUUGGGCGUAAAGGGCUCGCAGGCGGUUUCUUAAGUCUGAUGUGAAAGCCCCCGGCUCAACCGGGGAGGGUCAUUGGAAACUGGGGAACUUGAGUGCAAAAAAGGAAAGUGGAAUUCCACGUGUACCGGUGAAAUGCGUAAAGAUGUGGAGGAACACCAUGGCGAAGGCGACUCUCUGGUCUGUAACUGACCCUGAGGACCAAGCGUGGGGAACGAACAGGAUUAAAUCCUGGUAUCCCCCCCGUAAAAUAGUGCUAAUGUUAGGGGG
rnacentral:rRNA from 1 species